UCUGCAAUCUGUAUUUGGGGUAAAAUUGGGAGUUCAUAACCCACUUGAAUCUAAUGUAUGAAAUAUGAUAUGUCAAGAGCUUUGUAAUGUUUUGAACAACCAAUAAAAAAAAAAAGUAAAAAAAAAAAAAAGUGCAGCAAAGGCAGCCAUCCAGUAAAGAGGAAGUAGUAAAACUUGCAGGUGACAUGGUCAUCUGUGCUAAACCCAACAGAGUAUACAAAAAAAUUACUAGAACUCCUGAGGAGGAAGUUUAGCAAAUUUGAAGAGUACAGUAUCAAUAAACAUUAAUCAAUUUUAUUUGUUUAUUAGCACCAUACAAUCAUAAAUGGAAAUAUUUAAAACACAUUUUUAUCACCAAAAAUGUGAAAAACCUGUGGUACAUCAGACUAAGAAUGUGUCUGUAUAUAUUAAACACUAUAAAUAGUACUGAGAGAAAUCAAAGAAGACCCCAACAAACAGAGACCAUGUUCGUGGAUACACCAUGUUCGUUAGUUGGAUGAUUUAGUAUACUUACGAUGUCAGCUCUUUGUUCUUUAUAGAAAUAGAAAAAAGUCAUAAAAUCCACUUGGAAAAAUAAGAGGCCCAAAACAGAAAAGGCAAUCCUCAGCAAGAAAAGUGAAGCAGCAGGCAUCACAAUAGCAGACCUUAAACUAUACUGCAGAGCUACAGUAACAAAAGCAGCAUAGUAUGGGCACCAAAACAGACAUGAAGACCAGCGGAACCAAAUAGAAGACACAGAGACAAACCCACAUAAAUAGAGUUUUCUGAUACUAGACAAAAGAGCAAUAAACAUACACUGGAGAAAAGAGCCUCUCCAACAAAUAGUGCUGGGAAAACAGGAAGUCUACAAGUAGCUGAAUGAAAUUUAACCCCUCUCUCUCACCUUUCAUGAAACUCAUCUCAAAGUAGAUCAAGGACCAGAGACCCUGCACCUACUGGAAGAAAAAGUAGGCCCAACUCUCCGUUAUGUGAGCUUAGGAACCAAAUUCCUCAACAAGACUCCUAAAACACAAGAAGUAAAAUCAAGAAUCAAUAAACAGGAUGGUAUCAAACUAAAAAGCUUUUGCACAGCAAAGGAAAAAUGAGAAUGUGAAGGAAGAGCCUACAGAAUGAGGAAAAAUCUUUGCUACCUGGACCUCAGAUAGAGCAUUAAUCUCCAGACUGUAUAAUAAUAAAGAACUCAAAAAACUUAACACCAAAAAAAAGAAAAUAAAAGAAAAAUCUCAAUAAAUGGGCAAAGGUACUGAAUGGUCAGCAAAUAUAUGAAAAAAAUGUCAACAUCACUAGCAAUUAGAGAAAUGCAAAUUAAAACUAUACUGAGAUUCCAUGUCAUUACAAUCAGAAUGGCAAUUAUCAAGAAUACAAGUAAUAGUAAAUGUUGGCAAGGAUGUGGGAGGAAAGAUUCAUUCAUAUAUUGCUGGUGGGACUGCAAUUUGGUGCAACCACUCUGGAAAGCAGUAUGGAGAUUUCUCAGAAAACUAGGAAUGGAACCACCAUUUGACCCAGCCAUCUCACUCCUUGGCAUAUACCCAAAAGUCUUAAAAUCAGCAUACUACAGUGACACAGCCACAUCAAUGUUUAUAGCAGCUCAAUUCACAAUAGCUAAACUAUGGAUCCAACCUAGAUGCCCUUCAACAGAUGAAUGGAUAAAGAAAAUUGGUAUAUGUACACAAUGGUAUAUUACUCAGCCAUAAAGAAGAAUGAAAUUAUGGCAUUUCCUGGUAAAUGAAUGGAACUGGGGACUAUCAUGCU
rnacentral:lncRNA from 1 species